UUCUAAAUAGCUCAGUGGUAGAGCGUACGGCUGUUAACCGUGUGGUCGUAGGUUCAAAUCCUACUUUAGGAG
rnacentral:tRNA from 1 species